CUAAUGUGUAGGCAGAGUCAUUCUGGGCUCUGCACCCUGCUCCAAGUACAUCACACACGUUAGCUUGUCUAAUUAAUUCUUGUAACUGAUGAGGUUGAAAUAUCAUUAUGAACCGGGUAUGGUGGCACACACCUUUAAACCCAGCAAAAUUGGGAGGCAGAAGCAGGCGGAUCUCUGUGAGUUCAAAGCCAGCCUGGUCUAUGUAGGGAGUUCCAGGACAGCCAGGGCUCCACAGAGAGAUCCUGUUUCAAAAGAAAAAGAAAACGAGAAAAGAAAAAGAAUGAAUAAAAAUAUCAUUACGGAUAUCACUGUCUCUACGUCACGGAGGAAGUGAAGCCAAGCUAAUGACUCGCCAAGACCACAGACCAGGCAGCUGUAUAGCUGGGAUCCGAAUCCCAGCAUUCCUGUGUUCUUAAUGGGAGAAAGACCAAAUGUUAGCCUUCGUGAGUAGUGCAGCCACCCACAAGCCAUUAUGAGCCACACGCUGAACCUUUGAGACCCAUACGGAGAAUGAUUUCCCACACUUUUAUUUUCUAACGAGUGAGUUUACAAAGCACAUACAAAGCCAGUACAGGCAGAAGAAGAAAUGACAAGAAUCGGCUGGAGAGAAGCGGCAGGCAGGUCUCAAACAUCAUUCAACAGGGUGCUUAUGGCAGCUCUCAGAGAUGAUGGGAACCCGCUGACGAGAUCAGGCUGACCGACCGAGAGAGUUUGGGGCAGACACAUCUUGUCCACGGUGAGCCUGUGCCUUCCCAUUGCCACAGUGGGCAUUUUCAUAAGGUGGGGUGGACAGCGGUAACCUCUGUUGGUCAGAGUGUACCUUCCAGCCCUUCUCAAGGGUGCAAUGUUUUUCCUCAGCUGCUUCCCAUCCCCCUUUCUCCUCAUCGCAAAGGGGGCUGCAGCAGCUUGAACCCUGGAAAGGGAGGAUGCUUUUAGAGGAUGCUUGAGAUAAAUGUACUUGAGGCUGAGGAAAGGGAACUCCCUUGUCUUCUAUGAUCCACUCUCAACAACCCAAGAAGCUCAUCAUACAGUUCCUGUUAUGCCCAGGGGUAAGGUCACUCAUAGCUAGAGACAGGGCCACAGCUGCUGUGCAGAACUUUGGGCUGAAUGAGCGAAAGAGCUCCUUCAUUCCUCCAGCUGAGGCAGAAGAGAAUUAGCCCUUAGAGAGCUCGAGAGUUCGUUCUCCAGCGAAGACCUGGGGCGUCACUCUGCAGAAGUAGCAGAGGAAAAUCGGCUGAGGCAGCUGGAGGGAAAGUGGCCCACCUCUCACUGAGACUCCAGCAUCCCUGAUAAAUUAUUUCUAGGGUUACCUCAACCUCAGCCAAGCAAGGGACAAAGGCCCCAAUGUUAAUGCCAAAGAUGCUUUCUGAUGGUAAGAUGUCUAGCCUUGAAGACCAAUCGCCUUCAGUGACCACAAACCAGUACUCUGGUCAGGAUGCAUCUUGACUUAGAAGCUGUCACCUCCUAGAGAUUGAGAGAAACACUCUGCUCAGGCACUGAACCUUCUUGUAGCUCCAUGUGACCUGGAUAGGUACCAGGUCACACUAAAGGCAGGAUGUAGAGAUUUCAGUUGGCCUGGCCUAUCUUACCUUCUCUAACAAGAAUUAGAUGCCACUACUGCGUGCCCUCUGGAGUCACUCAGAUGAUACCCCUGUGUUACUGAAAAACGUGUCUUCACCAACAGCAUGGUGUUGUAUGCACACAUUGCUCUAGUCCCAGGAUCAGGAAGGUAGAGGCAAGAGGAUCAGGAGUCCAAGGCUGGCUUGUGUUAUAUGAGGCCUUCCUUGACUCAAACAAACAAACAAAAGCAAGAGAAGGAAGGAGAAAUGUACUUUUUUUCAAGCCUUGAAAAUGAGGUUCAGUAUGUAUCAAAAAUUUGCCAAGGUGGUCUCAAGUCAUUGAGACAUAAUCAAAAAACAAGAGGCACUCCACAUUGUUUGUCAACUCAAAUUUGAUACUCACACGUUCUAACUAACUGUACUAUCAGCCCUUAACACCAUGCUACUUGGCUCUAUGACACUAGCCUCCCUGUAUAAUCAGAAUACUUAAGGCACCCAGUCGAAGAGCUUGAUAGAUCCUAUUAAUGUUUAGAUGUGUUAGUGCCCUCUGUGUUAUCAUGGUUUCCUCUUUGGUGGAUCAUCCCUUUCUUCUCAUAAAAUUUGGGUUUUUCUGUGUUUUGGAUCUGGUUUCAGUUUAUCUCAUAAAGGUUGUUGUGAUUGUUGAUGCAAACUUGACAGAAUCUAGAAUCAUCCAGAAGUCAAGUCUCCAAGCAUACCUUUGAAGGAUUAUUUGGCCUCUGAAAAGAUCUGUGAGUCACUAUUUUGAUUAGAUUAAUUGAGCUUGGGGAGACCUGCCCAUUGUGGGUGGCACCAUUCCCUAGGCUGGGAUCAUAAAAUGUAUAAAAAGAGAAAGCAAACUGAGCUUGCAUGUUCAUCACUGCUCCCAGAGUGUGUGGAUACAAUAUGAGCCAAUCCUUGCUCCUACAUAAUGGACUCUAUCUCUCUGAAGCUAUAAGCCAGAAUAAGUCCUUAAUCUUUUUUUGCAAGAUAUUUUCUCCCUGCAAAGAGAAGGUAAGAAGGUAGCUAAGAUGAUGUAUAGCAGGGAGGUAUCAAGAGGGAGAAACUUGAAACAUUUAUAUAAUGUAGAUGGGUACAUUGUAGCUAUUUCAGACAUACCAGAAGAGGGCACAGGAUCCCAUUACAGAUGGUUGUGAACCAUGAUGUAGUUGCUGGGUAUUGAACUCAGGGCCUCUUGAAGAGCAGUCAGUGCUCUUAACCACUGAGCCACCUCCCAAGCCCCAGGGAUUCCCAUGCUGCUAUUCAGUAUUUCUUUUCAUUGUAAAAAACUUGCAAAAAAAAAAAAAAAAGAGCUUGCAAAUAAAAAGUCUCACAGCCAGAGACUCAGACCGAAGUCUAAGCACUUUUGCAUUUUAUGCUUUAGGCUGACGAUGACAGUGUACUACUAGGCUGUGCACCGUCACUUAUAAGUAUACAUUAUACCAUUGGAAAGUGGGCUUCCAGCUUGGCCAUGGAAUCUCCUUGAAUGUUGAACAUGACAUGUCCAGUCAGGACCCUGCCCUCCUCUCACUUGCAGAGUGUCUCCUCCAGGGUCUGUUUCCUGAAUAAGGACGGUGGCAUGGAGAAAGUGGCCACCCCUCCAGCUUGAGUCUCCACAUGAGAACUGUGUGCUUCAAUCUUUACUCUGAGUUGCUUCUGGGACAACCCAAUAAAGGAGACUGGCCGCAUCUUAAAUCUCCAUACAAGUUUCUCCUCAGAGAAAUUUACUACAAUCUACUUCACACCCAAAAACCAAAACCAAAAACCAAAGCAACCAAACCAAACCAAAAACAACCAACUAGCUUUUUCUAGACUCAAUUAGAUGCCUUAGAUGCUUACACUCCCAACCCCAUACCCUAUAUUAUGUAAGCUUGAACAACAAAUCCCACAGGGCCUUUAAUGAGUCUUUACCUUUCCCCCAGUAGUAAGGAUGUGGUCAGUCAGCCUCACUACUUAAGAGUGAUUUUCAACUGCUCUAGGCCCAGAAUUCCUUUAGAUUUCAUUUAAGCUAUUUAUUUAUUUAUGACUUUUUUUCUCUCCUCAUGAGCACAUGACCAGAUUACCUUCCCAGGAUCCUUUGCAGGAGAGAAGCCGAGUCUUCCCUUGCUGUCUGAAAAUCUCCGAUGCACGAGCUUUAGCCCCAGAAAAAGUGGAAGCCAGACCUUCUUAAAGAAAGUGCAGAAAAUGCACAGGGAAAGCAAGCAGGCAGAGCAUUCCUUUCUCACCAUGGAGGGUGCCUUUGUUUUGGAGGAAAGAAGAGAUCCACUUGCCUUUGCCUGCUGGAUGCCGGGAAGAAAGGUGUGUGUCAUCAUGCCUGCUGGGUAACUGUCUUCUCCUGAGGCCGCCUGGGCACCAUGAUCUACCGGAGCGGAUCUGUCCAUUCCUGCUCAUUAACUUCAUUCCAAAAAUGUCUCCCGAAGUGGGAAUUUCUGGUUUCACCGGAGACCCAGUUGUGUUCUGCGAUAUUUUUCUGGACGCUGUCUGGUGAAAGGGCAUGCGAUGUUUGACUGGAGCAGACACUCGAGAGGGCACGUGAUGUUUGGAAAGAGUGUGAGUACAACCCAGCAGACAGUGGACAACACUCUGGCCUUGGUUUGCCUUGCUUUCUUCCCUGAUCUUUCCUGACUCUAGCCGAUUGGUGGAGUCUCGUGGUUUGUUCUGGAAGGAGCCACCACUGCUGAUUUAUGUGUGGGAUGAACUGCUGACCAUGAAGAUUGGAAUCGCCCCCAAAGAACGAUUUCUAAACAGAUCCAAAACCCUGUU